rnacentral:lncRNA from 1 species
GGUUAAAAACAAGUAGAGGUUAAUUAUACAAUAAUUAGUAUAUAAUGACAUUUAGGCAACCUGACGUCACUCUGUUUUGCCAAUUGCAUACAUGUUACUUUCCAUUGUUAGAUAGAGGAUUGCUGAAAUGUUAUCUAAAAGUCCAAACAUGUACAUGAAUUGCAAAUGCAGCUUUUGAUUUGUGAUCUUGUUUUUAGCUUGACCUUAUAAUGAAAUCUAUUUUUAUUUUUUUAAGACAAGGUCUUGCUUUGUCACCCAGGCUGGAGUGCAGUGGCACAAUCUCGGCUCACUGCAAUCUCUGCCCCCCAGAUUCAAGCGAUUCACUUGCCUCAGCCUCCCUAGUAGCUGAGAUCACAGGCGUGUGCCACCACGCCCGGCUAAUUUUUGUAUUUUUUUAGUAGAGACAGGGUUUCUCCAUAUUGACCAUGCUGAUUGCGAACUCCUUACUUCAGGUGAUCUACGCGCCUCGGCCUCCCAAAGUGCUGGGAUUACAGGCAGGAGCCACCAUGCCCUGCCUUAAUGAAAUCUAUUCUUAUUGAAGAGAAUGGAGAAUGUGUUUUAGAAGGAAAAUUGUAGCAAAUAUUAAAUGCUACAAAGUUGUCUCAGUAUCGCUAAGGUAAUUAAGGUCUUUGAGAAAUACAAAUAAGGAUUUAAAGAGUAAAGUAAAGAAACAGACUAAAGUAAGCACAAAUGUUUCCUUACAGUCAAGGGAUUUGUACAGCCCUAUAGGAGACACCUCCAGAGAAAGUAACAACUCUCAGUUGAUUAGCUGAGCCAGAAUUAGCUUCUGUUACUUACAACUGUGAGCCCUGACUGAAAACAUAUUUCUUCCUUUGAAGAAUUGUUACCUGUAACAGGCUAAGAAUAUUAAGAAUAAACAGAUGCUUUUACAGCUCGCAUUGGUGGGAAGAUCUGGCACAAAUGAAGUAUCUAUAAGGAGCAGCAGAGUCAAGGUGGUGAUCCUGUGGAAGAAUAACUGAAACCUGAUAUACUUGACAGCAGAAAAUAUAAAGCAAAUCGAAAAGGAGAGAGUGUGGAGAUAAAUAAGGAAAUGAAAGAACUGAUGAAGUCACUUGGAUUAAAAAACCUGGGAGAAGACACCAAAUGAGCUACACUGUUUUGGACUCCCCAACACAACCCAGCCACCGGCUGAAUGCCACCAAAUUACCUUCUAGUUAAAGCUUUAUGGAGCAAACGAAUCACCUAUUCAAUAUCUGCUUGAAUUUCUGACUCAAAAUAUAUCAGGUAUAAAAUGAUGGUUUUUUUAAGCCACUAAGUCUUGGGGGAGUUUAUUAUAAAGCAA